GAUGAACGCUGACAGAAUGCUUAACACAUGCAAGUCUUUGGCGAAGCUGUGCUUGCACAGCCUAGCCAAGGCGGACGGGUGAGUAACGCGUAAGGAACUUGCCCUGCAGUCAGGGAUAACAGACGGAAACGACUGAUAAGACCUGGUAAAGUCAGGCGGACUCAUGUCCAGCCUGAUGAAAAGAGAUGCUGCAGGAGAGCCUUGCGUCCUAUUAGCUUGUUGGUGGGGUAACGGCCCACCAAGGCGAUGGUAGGUAGCCGGCCUGAGAGGGUGGACGGCCACAAGGGGACUGAGAUACGGCCCUUACUCCUACGGGAGGCAGCAGUGGGGAAUAUUGGACAAUGGGGGCAACCCUGAUCCAGCAAUUCUGUGUGCACGAUGAAGGUUUUCGGAUUGUAAAGUGCUUUCAGCAGGGAAGAAAAAAAUGACGGUACCUGCAGAAGAAGCGACGGCUAAAUACGUG
rnacentral:rRNA from 1 species